GACAAUCAGCACACUCGGUUGCCCAACUAUGACUGAAAAAACGUUGAGAUCUAUUUCGACUUUAUUCCUCGCCUGCGUUCCGGUUGCCGAACUGAGGAAAUUGCUGGAUACAGUGCCGAAGGGAACUACUGACGCAGGAAUUUCAGGAAGCGUUGAUCGACCGCACAAUUCUCCAUCCUACUGCGUCAGCGUACCCGCCGAGGCCGGCGUACAUAACCAAUUUCCUCAAGUGUCUCAUGAACAAGGUAGUGGUUCGCCAAUGACUGACAUCUCGGCCUCCGGCGACUCCUGACUAACCGCAGAAUCACCCUCGCUUUCGCAGCUAGAAGAAAAAAAAAAAAUGUCGAGAUCACGGACAGCCUGUAUACGUCCACUUUGCCGAGAAACUCGGAGGUGUGAACAGCGAUGAAGACAUCCCCGGCUUCGUCACGUACACCAUCGACGCUCGCAUGACAGUCACUUUAAAAGAACAUACGGCUUCUGUGGUUGGUGGGACGACAAGCCUCACAACAUGACAGGCGCAUUCUAGAACUGAGGUGUGGCGUCGGACUGACUGGCAUCGUCGUGUGCAAGACCUGUCGCCCCUUGUAGUACACAUUCACUGAUGGCCACGGCGCCGUUCUUCGCUCACUAGUGGACAACCUCAAGUGGAACGGCGUCACGGAGUGCCAUGCAAGGGAUUGAAGCGCUUCAUUGGGGCGAACAAUGCAAAUUUCGAGGAGCUGUUGCUGAGCAGACGUAAUCCUC